AUUGAACGCUGGCGGAAUGCUUUACACAUGCAAGUCGAACGGCAGCACGGACUUCGGUCUGGUGGCGAGUGGCGAACGGGUGAGUAAUGUAUCGGAACGUGCCCAGUCGUGGGGGAUAACGUAGUGAAAAUUACGCUAAUACCGCAUACGAUCUAUGGAUGAAAGCGGGGGAUCGCAAGACCUCGCGCGAUUGGAGCGGCCGAUAUCAGAUUAGGUAGGUGGUGGGGUAAAGGACCACCAAGCCGACAAUCUGUAGCUGGUCUGAGAGGACGACCAGCCACACUUGAACUGAGACACGGUCCAGACUCCUACGGGAGGCAGCAGUGGGGAAUUUUGGACAAUGGGCGAAAGCCUGAUCCAGCCAUUCCGCGUGCAGGAUGAAGGCCCUCGGGUUGUAAACUGCUUUUGUACAGAACGAAAAGGUUUCUACUAAUACUAGGAGCUCAUGACGGUACUGUAAGAAUAAGCACCGGCUAACUACGUGCCAGCCGCCGCAGUAA
rnacentral:rRNA from 1 species